CCUACGGGAGGCUGCAGUGAGGAAUAUUGGUCAAUGGACGAGAGUCUGAACCAGCCAAGUAGCGUGAAGGAUGACUGCCCUAUGGGUUGUAAACUUCUUUUAUAAAGGAAUAAAACGAGGCACGUGUGCCUUUUUGCAUGUACUUUAUGAAUAAGGAUCGGCUAACUCCGUGCCAGCAGCCGCGGUAAUACGGAGGAUCCGAGCGUUAUCCGGAUUUAUUGGGUUUAAAGGGAGCGUAGAUGGGUUGUUAAGUCAGUUGUGAAAGUUUGCGGCUCAACCGUAAAAUUGCAAUGGAUACUGGGAGUCUUGAGUGCAGUUGAGGUAGGCGGAAUUCGUGGUGUAGCGGUGAAAUGCGUAGAUAUCAGGAAGAACCCCGAUGGCGAAGGCAGCUUACUAGACUGUGACUGACAUUGAGGCUCGAAAGUGUGGGUAGCAAACAGGAUUAGAUACCCGGGUAGUC
rnacentral:rRNA from 1 species